AUGAUAUCCAAAAAAAAAAAAAACCCUAAACAAUCACUUAUGUAAAGCUCUAAAAAUGUCAGAAUCUCAACUUGACUGAUGGUGGUGAUUUGGUGGCAACUUCAUCAUUCUAUAUCCUUAAAUACAAUUUAUGUUGAUAUAGGGUCUCAACAAGGUAGGAGGAGAUAAUGGAGAUAAGAUGACCAGUUUACUUGUCACAUAUAGAGAGUCGGAGAAGGAGGUUGCUAACGGAGAGAAGGGAGGAGAUGGAGGACAAAUAGGCUUUUCACUUAGGUCUUCUUGGGGAGGAAGAAGGGUCUUUGUAUCUCAUGCUCUAGAAUAUAUAUAAGUGGGUGUCUCUUGUUUGGCAGUAUCACGUAAUCAAUAACAUGGAAGGUAAGUUUGUUCAUGUGAUCAGUCAAGUGAUAAGGUCAUUACAGGUCAAUUGUAUUAUAUAUGAUACUAUGUGAUAAUGUUUUGAUAUUCUCUUUAUUAAGGUUGUACAAAGUUAUUGUGUUAUAAAAAUCCUUCAAUGAUCUCUAUAAAA